rnacentral:lncRNA from 1 species
CUCUGGUAGAGAUUCACAGGCAGGAAGUUUAUUCAGAGUGCUCUGGGGCAACACCUGUGAGGGAAUACAGGCAGUAAAACAGGGCAGAGGGAGAGGCUGAAUUCUGAUGCAGCUGCAAACAAAAGCCUGACUGAUCCAGGAGGAUGCUCUGCAACGGGGCUGGGCGUUCAAAGUGGAUCCAAGCCGGGUGAAAGGUCCAGGCCUUCAUGUCCCAGCAUCAACCUGUCUUUGGAUAUGGGUUGCUACUGCUCCUACCUUGGGCAUCCUAGUUCUCCUCAGCCACAGGCAAUCCCGAAGAGGGUCUCAGCUGAGCACUGUCAGCUGCCAACAUUACCAGCAGCUGAAGAAGGAAGUCCUUCCCUCCUGGAAGCGGGUGGAGGGAGUGUUGUAGAUCUGGGCUGCCUGACAACAUCUUCUGCAUUGCUCAGGGCGUGUUUCCCACUCAACUCUCAGACAGUGAUGAAUAAACUCAAAGGAAAGGAAAAUCAUUUGGCAACCGGAAGGUGUGGGAGGAUAGCUGUAAAUGAAACUGACGGCAAAAAACAGAGCAGAGAAGUUUAAAGAAAAAAAAUAACAGCAUUCCUGGUGAUGCCCCAUUGGGCCAAUGAAACAAACACAUUCUGAAGCCUUUCCUAACCAGGAGCCAACCAAUCUCAUCACUGUGAAGCCAGAAAACCCUAUCUAUUGAAGAUGACUGCUUUCUUCUACUGUAGCUGGCAAUUUUAUGAAAUGAAGAAAAUUUGCUCUAGUUGCAAGUGACACACACCUCUUAAAUGUCUGCUAUCAAUUAAAAGUAAAAUACUGGUUACUUGCAACUAUCAAUUAGAUACAAUGCACUCCAGGAGAUCAGGAGCCUUGGCAUUCAGACAUAGGAGCAUUUUUUUGGCUUUGCCAUUUACUUGCAAUGUGACCUUGAUGAGAGAGAAGUUGAUGCUCAGCGAGGUGAAGUAAUUUGCCCAGGGUUAAGAUUCAAAUGCAAGUCUGGGGACCCUGAAGUCUGCUUCUUUUCACUGUGCUGCGUAGUGGCCUUAGCCUUUCCUUUCUAACAGAGAAGCCAAGACAGCAUACCUGUGUCUGAGUGCCCCAGUGGUGUGCACAUCUAUUACCUCAGGAAGAAAGAAUGUCUGAGGAGACGAAAUUUGCAAACAGUUACAAAGGACUGCACACACAAAUAUGAAUAAAGCCUCUUGAACACCAGAGUAAAGGAAUGUAGGUCAAAUAAUUGCCCUGUUCAGUGUCUCCCUCUCCCUCUUCAUUACCCAACUCCUCUCAUUUGCAUACAUGAGGCCCCAAGUGGAAGAUAACUUGGUGGAAAAUUCCAGGAGCUUUGCAACUAUCAUUAAAAGCAAAAGUUCAAGAAAUAAGGAAAGAAUUUUAAAUUCACUUUGUUUUAACUCAUGAUUAUUCUAAUUUAAAAGCUCAGAUUUAGUAAUGUGUUCAGAGCCAACUAGGCAUAGAAAACUGUAGCAAGCCUCUGGAAAAAUAAGCCUUGUUUGGCUGUUUUUUUUGGUUGUUGUUGUUGUUGUUUUGUUUUUGUUUUUUGAGACAGAGUCUCACUCUGUUGCCUAGUCUGGAGUGCAAUGGCAUGAUAUCG